GGGACGGCGCACGGCGCAUGGAGCAGGACGACACCCUGACCUCUCCGUGGUUGUGGUCGGGGCUUUGACCAGCGGCUGCGGCCUUCCACCGGUGGCCAUCGUCACCGUGACUUGUUCCUGCUCAGGCAAGGCCAGGACGCGGAGGAAGAGGCUUUGUGAGCACAGACAGAGCAGGUGCCAUGCGAGCAGUGGCCAGGCUUGCCCAUGUUGCAGGACAUCAGGGGCUGAUCCUGGGAGGUUCAACCCAAGGUUCUUCGUGGAGACACCGCGGCUUUCCAUUUCCUCAGAGGCGUAGGACGAGUCUGCCGAGACUUCCCAGUCCGGGAACAGUGCGGUGUCCUUAUGCCCCUCGCCUCGGAAGAGGAACGAGAUCCCCUGGGCCCAGGGUUCCGUCUCAGGUCCUUUUCAUUCCACAUUCCUGUGGGGAGAAGAUAAAUCUGCUGCAAGUUUAAGGACACAUUCAAAUCCAGGUGAGUUUAGUGUGAGAGAUAGUGGAAAAGGAGACAGUGAAUUGAAUGACAACAGUUCUGAUAUCA